GGGACGAACGCUGGCGGCGUGCUUAACACAUGCAAGUCGAGCGGUAAGGCCCUUUCGGGGGUACACGAGCGGCGAACGGGUGAGUAACACGUGGGUAACCUGCCCUCAGCUCUGGGAUAAGCCCGGGAAACUGGGUCUAAUACCGGAUAUGACUCCGCAUCGCAUGGUGUGGGGUGGAAAGCCUUGUGCGGCUGAGGAUGGGCCCGCGGCCUAUCAGCUUGUUGGUGGGGUAGUGGCCUACCAAGGCGACGACGGGUA
rnacentral:rRNA from 1 species